GAGAAGAGAACGAGGGGACCCAUUGUCUUAUACUGGACAAGAACAGUGCCUUUCUAGAAGAGAUUUCUUUGCUGGGGAACAGCUCAUUAAAUCUGCAUUUAUUUCUAUCUGACAGCAUCCAAAAGAGUGCCUGUGUGUUUCAUUGACUUCAGCUCACCAGGCUAUGAGAUUCAUCCUAGCGUUUGCUGCUAUCCCUGGGACCUCACUUAGAAUGGGGAAAAUACUGUCCCUCAAAGGGCUUUCAAAGCAAGCUCCUACCUCACGUUGAGAGAGAAUGGUGCAGAAACUGAAGCCCAAAGAUGAGGGCCCCAUGGUCC